AUCUGUUACAGUGUACUUUUAAUUCUCCUUCACUUGAUUCAUAAAUAGAAUGCAAUAUGCAGACACAUUCUUUGCUAAAUAACAAACAGAACUCAAUGACUUGUUUUCCAUGGGGGUGGCUAAUAUAAAUCAGUAGUCUACACUACACAUAAUAAAUAGACUAUUAUGAUGAAAUAAGAAAAGAUGAGAUUAGUAUUGCAGCGGUGAUAUAGCAAACUUAUGUCUGCCAGAUUCAACUUCUCCAAAUUGAGAUGUUGAUUGUCAUAGAAUGUACAAGAAAGACACAAAUGAAAGACAACAUAUUUUAUAGAUCUGUUCUUUUCAAUCUCUAGAAGACAAGACUUAAAAAUCUAGUCAACUGAACCAAGAUAACUUUGCAAUCAAAUUAGCAUAUACACAAAAUAGGUAAACCUACUACUUAGCUUCAUCUCUUGACUAAUUACACAAGCAAGCUUUUAAGUUAGAUUUGCCAUUCUAAAACUAAGAUCUUUAAUUCUAAUCAAAAGAACAUUCAUCUAUGACUUCCAAAUUCUUCUUCAUGACCCACAUUUCCAAUUUAUAAUUGGGAUAUGCAACAAACCUUGGAUAAUGAGGUACACAUUUACUUUAUGUACUUUAAAUACACCUGAUGUUAAAACCCACAAAUCACCUUAGGAAUAUAGACUUGUUUAAAAGCAUUUAGUAAUACAUAGAUUUUCAUUAUAUACACACACACAUAUAUAUAUAUACAUAUA